GGCCUCCCAUCGUUGCCUUGUGCAGGUAAUAACAGGUCACAGUUUAACAAUUGCAAUUAAAUACAGAAAAGUAGCAUGUGGAUGUAGCAAUUGUGUAACCCCAAGUAAGACACUAUACUAGCAAUCUAAGCAAGACUUCUAAUAACCAACUAGGGCAAUAAGCAAGCGUGUGGCAUGGUAAUAGGACAAUGAACAAGACAACAAGCAUUUGAGUAGAGCUGACUAAAGCUAUGCAAUUCUAGAGGCACUGUGACAAUAACUGAGAACGUAACUUAGUGCAAAAAUGAGAGAGAGGCAUUGGGUAAAAUCAACAUGUUCAAGGAAUGGCUGCUUGCCUAGAGUACUCAAUUGCCCGGAAUUGAACAAAAAUCCUGAAAGAAGAACAGAAGUGUAGUCGUCGUCAUAGGAACCGAAGACUAGCGAGAAAGAAGCAAAUACACCACAUAGAAGAAAAGUAUAAGCAUACAAGAUACAAAUGGUAAUUAAUAUGCGCAAUCAAAGAAUGAUGCGUGGCAUAUAAGGAUGAUGCAUGACAUCUUAAGAAUUCCAAAAGUAAAUCCGAUAUAUAAUUUACCAAGUUAAUUGGAGUCUGAAAACACACUACACAUAGCACCUAUACAACUCCAUAUGCAAGGAAUAGAGUUGAUGGUAGAGGAAUUAGGCGUCGUAGAGGAGGUAGUCGUACACGUAGUCGACGUAGUCGUACGGUUGAUGUAGGCGUACAAUCGUCGUGGUCGCAGUCGUUCAUGGCUCCGGCUCGGAGGUUCUUUGGUCUCUCGGUGCGUAAGGCAAGGACUUGGGCAGCGACACAUCGAAGCACUCGGAGGCGCUGACCAGCAGGGCCCACACAUCAGGAAAUAGCAAUUUUCAGAAAAAAAAAACAGAAAAAAACCAAAGGGAGGAAAUGGGCACGGGCCUGCUGGAUUGGGCUUGGAGCUGGCUGUAGAUGGGCCGAAGGGGGGCUCGGCCUGGGCUUGCGGGCUGGAGUCAGAGAAGGUUGGAGCGAGGGCGGACGGAGGAGCAGAGGUGACCGGUGGCGAGGUGGUAGCGGGGGACGCGGCCAGGAGCAAGGGGAGCAGGCGAGGCGGCGCUCGGUGGAAGGGAGGCGGAGCGGGAGGAGACGCGGCCGGCGGUGGCUGGUGGGCCGGCGAGGUGGCGUCGGGCGGCGUAGCUUGGGCGGCGCGGCUAGGGCAGCAGGCGGCGCGCAGCAGGGAGAGAGGUGAGGGGGCGAGCUCAGCGGCGGGGGGGGGGGGGGGCAGGGCAAGGGGGGCGCCAGGAGGGGGCGAGCUCAGGAGGAAGGGAGGCGCCGGCCAUGGGAGAAGGCAGCGGAGACAAAGGAAGAAGAAAGGGGAUCGGGGGAAGGAAGGAGACGUCGGCGGCUUGGAGGAAAAGAGGAGAGGAAGAAAAGAAAGAAAAGAGAAAAGGAGUAGCUUUAUAAGGUAGGAAACUAGGGUUUGGUUUAUUGGGCCUUUGGGCCAAUAAAAGCGGCAAACAAAAAUACAGCUUUUUCAAAUUUAGUUUUUUGCAAAGAAAAAAAAAGAGACUAAAGGAGGUCUAAUUAAAGCCGGAU
rnacentral:lncRNA from 1 species